rnacentral:lncRNA from 1 species
CUACAAAUGCAAAAUUAUAAUCACAUAAUAGUCAUUUCCAAGUUAAAUGAGAAAAGAAGUUUCCAAAUCAUAUAUAUUUAUCUCAAAUGUAGAAGGAAUUUGAACUACUAAUGGUAUGGAACUUGUUACCCCUUGGAUAAAAUCGAAAAAAUAUGAAACUUUUUGGGGCAAGUUUACAAUUUUGGACAAGAUUUUAGAAAAAUUUUGAAUUUUAACACAAGUCCAAUAUUUGCAACUAAUAAUUCAAUCACAUACAAUGUAUAUAAUCUCAAUUCUCCCCCCACACUUAACAUACACAUUGUCCUCAAUGUGUAAAAAGGAAAAUCAAGAUAAAGAAAAGUAAUACUCCCCUAUUGUUGCGA